AACAAAUUUCUGAUAGAUUAUUAUAUGACAUCAUUAUGAGCAGGGAGGCUGUUGACUGUGUGCAGGAAAUUAUUUGAGUUUAUUUGAAGUUUUCUUAUUCAGAAAAACAAUUGCCUUUGUAUGGUAAUAAAAAGAAGGUAAAUUUAUUUUCAAAAUUUUUUUUCAGAGAAAAUAUUAUCACAGAUGGACACAGGAAAAAAGAAAUGCUGUCACUAUCUAAGCAGAAUAGUUACAGUACCAGCAAACACCCUCCCAGCUCGUGUUACAGACCUCAUCUCGGCUGCCUUCUUUGGAAAGAAGAAUGUUGCAGCUCUGAAGUAUGGCUAUAAUGAAAUAUCAUAGCUCUUUUCUGGGAAGAAUAAUGUACAGUACCACCUGUGCUAGAAAAGCCAUACUGAGCAAGAUUUGUUAUAUUAAAAGUGUACAGCUGCUUCAGAUGGUCCUGAAGCUCAGUGCCUUGACUAUUAUUCUUUAUAAUUCUUGUAGUCUUUAUUUACUGAGAGCAGUUAGAUCUAUUAAAAUGUAGAUACAGAUACAAAUAUCUGAACUUUUCUUUUACUCAGAAUGUUCUUGUUUCUUGUGGUUCAGUGUGUCUCAGCCAUACCUGAGGCACUGAUAGCAUACAGCUAAUGCAAUCCUUUUUCUAACUGGAAACACAAGUAAACUCUUUACCUUUUCUUCAGAGGAGAAAGGACUGAAAACUCCACACUGUUGACUAAUUAGCUGUGCAACUAUCACCUGCAUUGUUUGGAGCAGCUCUAAUGACUUUUCACACACUUUAUUUAGCAACCUGCUUAAGGUUUACACUUUUUUUUAAAUGGAAGAUCCAGAUAGCACCAAGGGAUAUCCAUCCUGGCCAUCGCUUUCUGAGUUUAGAUGUAAAUAAGUGAAGAUUCACAAGCUAUUCCUACCUCCACACUGGAUAAAUAAAGGCAUACUUUCUGUGGCAGGGAGAACAGAAAAGGGCAGCUGGAGCCUGAGAAGAGUCAGAUGGGGAGGUAAAGAAGGCUAUGAAUCAAAAUCUUCUGUUAUAGUACAGAGUAAAAAAGUUUAUAAGAAAGGUGAUUUUAAUACUCUUCAGGUAUAUAUCAAUAAGGGCUCAACAUUUGAAAUAAGUAAAUCCCAUAUUUAGAGGCUCUAUGUAAAACCUAUUCAGACCUUCAGGAAUUCAACCACCAAUAUUUCUCUACUCCACUUGUUAUGAAAACAUUAAUUUCCUUCCCCCUCUUCAUUAGGACUUAUUGUUUAAUAAAUAUAAGAAAAAAAUCACA